rnacentral:rRNA from 1 species
GGAUGAACGCUGGCGGCGUGCCUAACACAUGCAAGUCGAGCGGAGAUAUAUGUCUAAGAGACUUCGGUCAAAUUAAUUAUAUCUUAGCGGCGGAUGGGUGAGGAACGCGUGGAGAACCUGCCCUUCACAGGGGGAUAACAGCUGGAAACGGCUGUUAAUACCGCAUAUGCUCACAGCACCGCAUGGUGCAGGGAGGAAAGCCGAGACGGUGAAGGAUGGCUCCGCGUCGGAUUAGCCGGUUGGCGGGUAACGGCCCACCAAAGCGAUGAUCCGUAGCCGGCCUGAGAGGGCGACCGGCCACAUUGGGACUGAGACACGGCCCAAACUCCUACGGGAGGCAGCAGUGGGGGAUAUUGCACAAUGGGGGAAACCCUGAUGCAGCGACGCCGCGUGAAGGAAGACGUGCUCCGGCAUGUAAACUUCUAUCAGCAGGGAAGAAGAUGACGGUACCUGACUAAGAAGCCCCGGCUAACUACGUGCC